rnacentral:rRNA from 1 species
GAGAGCCCGUCNGGGCGCANGAUCGACCGAUCCUGAUGUCUUCGGAUGGAUUUGAGUACGANAAUGGCUGUUGGGACCCGGGGGGGGGAGAACUAUGCCUGAAUAGGGUGAAGCCAGAGGAAACUCUGGUGGAGGCUCGCAGCGGNUCUGACGUGCAAAUCGAUCGUCAAAUUUGGGCAUAGGUGAGUACCGCACCGCGCGUUCUGAUGUGUAAGCUGUUAAUUCACAACAGGGGCNAAAGNCUAAUCGAACCGUCUGGUAGCUGGANCCUGCCNAAGUUUCNUAAGUUCACCCUUCCUAAUGUCANGAUUNGAGCCG